rnacentral:rRNA from 1 species
GGGAGGCAGCAGUGGGGAAUUUUGGACAAUGGGGGAAACCCUGAUCCAGCCAUCCCGCGUGUGCGAUGAAGGCCUUCGGGUUGUAAAGCACUUUUGGCAGGAAAGAAACGUCAUGGGUUAAUACCCCGUGAAACCGACGGUACCUGCAGAAUAAGCACCGGCUAACUACGUGCCAGCAGCCGCGGUAAUACGUAGGGUGCAAGCGUUAAUCGGAAUUACUGGGCGUAAAGCGUGCGCAGGCGGUUCGGAAAGAAAGAUGUGAAAUCCCAGAGCUUAACUUUGGAACUGCAUUUUUAACUACCGGGCUAGAGUGUGUCAGAGGGAGGUGGAAUUCCGCGUGUAGCAGUGAAAUGCGUAGAUAUGCGGAGGAACACCGAUGGCGAAGGCAGCCUCCUGGGAUAACACUGACGCUCAUGCACGAAAGCGUGGGGAGCAAACAGGAUUAGAUACCCUGGUAGUCCACGCCCUAAACGAUGUCAACUAGCUGUUGGGGCCUUCGGGCCUUGGUAGCGCAGCUAACGCGUGAAGUUGACCGCCUGGGGAGUACGGUCGCAAGAUUAAAACUCAAAUGAAUUGACGG